rnacentral:ncRNA from 2 species
AUAAAAUCGAUGAAAAAGAAAGUAAUUAUCUGAAAAGGCAAAGCGAGUCAGGGAUGGUGAGAGCCUGAUGCAGACCAGAUAAUGAAGCGCACUUUUGAGAUGCCUGCCUGAAAAUAGUAGGGCAUGCCGGGAAAUUCUCCGUUAUGAUGUAAAGCAGGUUCUAUUUGAACAAUUAGAGUGGUACCGCGGGAUUAUCAAACUCUCGUCUCUUUU